AGCCUGAUGCAGCCAUGCCGCGUGUAUGAAGAAGGCCUUCGGGUUGUAAAGUACUUUCAGUCGUGAGGAAGGUGGUGUCGUUAAUAGCACUAUCAUUUGACGUUAGCGACAGAAGAAGCACCGGCUAACUCCGUGCCAGCAGCCGCGGUAAUACGGAGGGUGCGAGCGUUAAUCGGAAUUACUGGGCGUAAAGCGCAUGCAGGUGGUUUGUUAAGUCAGAUGUGAAAGCCCGGGGCUCAACCUCGGAAUAGCAUUUGAAACUGGCAGACUAGAGUACUGUAGAGGGGGGUAGAAUUUCAGGUGUAGCGGUGAAAUGCGUAGAGAUCUGAAGGAAUACCGGUGGCGAAGGCGGCCCCCUGGACAGAUACUGACACUCAGAUGCGAAAGCGUGGGGAGCAAACAGGAUUAGAUACCCUGGUAGUCCACGCCGUAAACGAUGUCUACUUGGAGGUUGUGGCCUUGAGCCGUGGCUUUCGGAGCUAACGCGUUAAGUAGACCGC
rnacentral:rRNA from 1 species